ensembl:lncRNA
GCUAUUCUCCCCACAGCAGCCUCCUAUGCUACGAACCAUGUUCAUACCGUAUUUUGAAGACCUAGCAGUGACUUUGUCACAGGAGUAGGCUUAAAACUUUGAUGGUGCCAAUUAGUAGGCCUAAACAACAAGCAAAUAGCCACGACAGGAGAUUCAGCCCCAUUCCAGUGGACAGCAACUGAAUUGGAAUCCCGCAAUCUGACGUUCAGCACCACAGUGCAGUACCCAACACUCAGUUAAAGCAAAAAAAGUGGGGCUGCAGUUAAGACGAACGCGUGUGUGUGUGGGGGGGGGACAUGUGCAACCCAUAGCUCAAAAUGUGUGCUGAUCUCCCUCUAUCCUCCCUACGUCUCCUGGUGCCAUCACUACAUCUGAAGUCUGCUUUCAUGUGGCAAGUGGCUCAGCAGCAUGACGUGAUGCAGUAUGGGAAGCUGGAGGAGUUUGUGACUGGUAACAGAGAUGGUUCUGGAGCUGCUGACCUUAAGGCAGAGGGUCCAACUCAUCCUGGGACUGAGAGCGAGGACAGCAUCUAUUCUCAACCUGACCCCUACUGACCUGGAGGAGUGUGAGCAGUCUGUCUCUGUCUCUGAACCAGAGCAUCUGAAGACACUGCUGCAGCAUCAUAGACAUCCUGGGCACCUUAAAGAAGCUAAGGAUCCCUCAGAUGUUCUCUUCUACGAUUCUGAUACCAUCCUGUCCACGUUGUUCCUCCUCAUUCCCUCACUGGAGUCUAAACCGACCCAGAGAGGUGGAGGAAAGGGCAGGUUGAAGACAGUGAUGUGACGACAGAAGGGGUGAAGAACUAGUCUGGUGAGAAGGGACAGCAAGAAGUCAGCGGGGAAGAUGAAGACACCAAUGAGGAAAGUGAUGAGGACACUAAAAGACUGGAAGAGGCUGGGAACUCUGGGCAGCAGAAACGGCCAUCAUCAGGGGCCGUCAAUGGACAAGCUAAAGCCGAGCCCCCACAGUCCCAGGGCUUCUCCUGCUCACAGUGUCAAUUCUCUGACAGGCAAUGGACUACCCUCCAAGAGCAUGUCAGGAAGAACCAUCUGAAUGAGGACAGCAGGAUCCUGGGCUCUGGAGAAGCUGGAGCUGAGAACAACUCUGCCUGUCAGUGAGAAAGAGAACUUCUCAGCCAAGAAGACCAUGGAGAACAG